GACGAACGCUGGCGGCGUGCCUAAUACAUGCAAGUAGAACGCACAGUUUAUACCGUAGCUUGCUACACCAUAGACUGUGAGUUGCGAACGGGUGAGUAACGCGUAGGUAACCUGCCUGGUAGCGGGGGAUAACUAUUGGAAACGAUAGCUAAUACCGCAUAAUAUUGAUUAUUGCAUGAUAAUUGAUUGAAAGAUGCUAUUGCAUCACUACCAGAUGGACCUGCGUUGUAUUAGCUAGUAGGUGAGGUAACGGCUCACCUAGGCGACGAUACAUAGCCGACCUGGGAGGGUGAUCGGCCACACUGGGACUGGGACACGGCCCAGAUUCCUACGGGAGGCAGCAGAAGGGAAUCUUCGGCAAUGGACGAAAGUCUGACCGAGCAACGCCGCGUGAGUGAAGAAGGUUUUCGGAUCGUAAAGCUCUGUUGUAAGAGAAGAACGGGUGUGAGAGUGGAAAGUUCACACUGUGACGGUAUCUUACCAGAAAGGGACGGCUAACUACGUG
rnacentral:rRNA from 1 species